AAUAGAUACCCUGGUAGUCCACGCCGUAAACGAUGAGUGCUAAGUGUUAGAGGGUUUCCGCCCUUUAGUGCUGCAGCUAACGCAUUAAGCACUCCGCCUGGGGAGUACGACCGCAAGGUUGAAACUCAAAGGAAUUGACGGGGGCCCGCACAAGCGGUGGAGCAUGUGGUUUAAUUCGAAGCAACGCGAAGAACCUUACCAGGUCUUGACAUCCUCUGACCUCCCUGGAGACAGGGACUUCCCCUUCGGGGGACAGAGUGACAGGUGGUGCAUGGUUGUCGUCAGCUCGUGUCGUGAGAUGUUGGGUUAAGUCCCGCAACGAGCGCAACCCUUGACCUUAGUUGCCAGCAUUCAGUUGGGCACUCUAAGGUGACUGCCGGUGACAAACCGGAGGAAGGUGGGGAUGACGUCAAAUCAUCAUGCCCCUUAUGAUCUGGGCUACACACGUGCUACAAUGGAUGGUACAAAGGGGCAGCGAGACCGGCGAGGUUAAGCCAAAUCCCCAUAAAAACCCAUUCUCAGUUCGGAUUGCAGG
rnacentral:rRNA from 1 species